CGCACAUUGCGCCCCUUGGUAUUCCGAAGGGCAUGCCUGUUCGAGCGUCAUUAUCACCCCUCAAGCCCCGGCUUGGUGUUGGACCGCGUUGUAGACAUUGCCUGCAACGGGCCUCAAAGACAAUGACGCCGUCCCAGAGGGACCCGGUACGAGGAGCUUCUAGUUAAGCAUGUACGCGGGAGGACUCUGCGGGCGACGGUCUUUUUUACUUAUUUUUCUUUUUUAAGUGUUGACCUCGGAUCAGGUAGGGAUACCCGCUGAACUUAA
rnacentral:misc_RNA from 1 species